UACGAAGGGGCUAGCGUUGCUCGGAAUCACUGGCGUAAAGGUGCGUAGGCGGGUCUUUAAGUCAGGGUGAAUCCUGGAGCUCAACUCCAGAACUGCCUUGAUACUGAAGAUCUUGAGUUCGGGAGAGGUGAGUGGAACUGCGAGUGUAGAGGUGAAAUUCGUAGAUAUUCGCAAGAACACCAGUGGCAGAAGGCGGAGCUC
rnacentral:rRNA from 1 species